rnacentral:rRNA from 1 species
GAUGAACGCUGGCGGCGUGCCUAAUACAUGCAAGUCGAGCGAACGGACGAGAAGCUUGCUUCUCUGAUGUUAGCGGCGGACGGGUGAGUAACACGUGGAUAACCUACCUAUAAGACUGGGAUAACUUCGGGAAACCGGAGCUAAUACCGGAUAAUAUUUUGAACCGCAUGGUUCAAAAGUGAAAGACGGUCUUGCUGUCACUUAUAGAUGGAUCCGCGCUGCAUUAGCUAGUUGGUAAGGUAACGGCUUACCAAGGCAACGAUGCAUAGCCGACCUGAGAGGGUGAUCGGCCACACUGGAACUGAGACACGGUCCAGACUCCUACGGGAGGCAGCAGUAGGGAAUCUUCCGCAAUGGGCGAAAGCCUGACGGAGCAACGCCGCGUGAGUGAUGAAGGUCUUCGGAUCGUAAAACUCUGUUAUUAGGGAAGAACAUAUGUGUAAGUAACUGUGCACAUCUUGACGGUACCUAAUCAGAAAGCCACGGCUAACUACGUGCCAGCAGCCGCGGUAAUACGUAGGUGGCAAGCGUUAUCCGGAAUUAUUGGGCGUAAAGCGCGCGUAGGCGGUUUUUUAAGUCUGAUGUGAAAGCCCACGGCUCAACCGUGGAGGGUCAUUGGAAACUGGAAAACUUGAGUGCAGAAGAGGAAAGUGGAAUUCCAUGUGUAGCGGUGAAAUGCGCAGAGAUAUGGAGGAACACCAGUGGCGAAGGCGACUUUCUGGUCUGUAACUGACGCUGAUGUGCGAAAGCGUGGGGAUCAAACAGGAUUAGAUACCCUGGUAGUCCACGCCGUAAACGAUGAGUGCUAAGUGUUAGGGGGUUUCCGCCCCUUAGUGCUGCAGCUAACGCAUUAAGCACUCCGCCUGGGGAGUACGACCGCAAGGUUGAAACUCAAAGGAAUUGACGGGGACCCGCACAAGCGGUGGAGCAUGUGGUUUAAUUCGAAGCAACGCGAAGAACCUUACCAAAUCUUGACAUCCUUUGACAACUCUAGAGAUAGAGCUUUCCCCUUCGGGGGACAAAGUGACAGGUGGUGCAUGGUUGUCGUCAGCUCGUGUCGUGAGAUGUUGGGUUAAGUCCCGCAACGAGCGCAACCCUUAAGCUUAGUUGCCAUCAUUAAGUUGGGCACUCUAAGUUGACUGCCGGUGACAAACCGGAGGAAGGUGGGGAUGACGUCAAAUCAUCAUGCCCCUUAUGAUUUGGGCUACACACGUGCUACAAUGGACAAUACAAAGGGCAGCGAAACCGCGAGGUCAAGCAAAUCCCAUAAAGUUGUUCUCAGUUCGGGUUGUAGUCUGCAACUCGACUACAUGAAGCUGGAAUCGCUAGUAAUCGUAGAUCAGCAUGCUACGGUGAAUACGUUCCCGGGUCU